rnacentral:rRNA from 1 species
GAUGAACGCUGGCGGCGUGCUUAAUACAUGCAAGUCGAGCGAACGGACGCGGAGUUUGCUGCUCUGAUGUUAGCGGCGGAGGGGUGAGUAACACGUGGAUAACCCACCUAUCAGACUGGGAUAAUCUCGGGACACCGGCGCUAAUACGGGAUGAUAUUUUGAUCCGCAGGGUUGAAAAGUGAAAGACGGUCUUGCUGUCACUUAUAGAUGGAUCCGCGCUGCAUUAGCUAGUUGGUAAGGUAACGGCUUACCAAGGCAACGAUGCAUAGCCGAGCUGAGAGGGUGAUCGGCCACCCUGGAACUGAGACGGGGUCCAGACUCCUGCGAGAGGCCGCAGUAGGGAAUCGUACGCAAUGGGGGAGAGCCUGACAGAGCAACGCCGCGUCAGUGAUGAAGGUGCUCGGAUCGGAAAACGCUGUUAUUAGGGGGGAACAUAUGUGUAAGUAACCGUGCAGAUAUUGACGGUACCGGAUCAAAAAGCCACGGCUAACUACGUG